rfam:Hepatitis C virus subtype 1a polyprotein gene, complete cds.
CCAAUAGCGGCCGCUGGCCGGCUGGACUUGUCCGGUUGGUUCACGGCUGGCUACAGCGGGGGAGACAUUUAUCACAGCGUGUCUCAUGCCCGGCCCCGCUGGUUCUGGUUUUGCCUACUCCUGCUCGCUGCAGGGGUAGGCAUCUACCUCCUCCCCAACCGAUGAAGGUUGGGGUAA